rnacentral:lncRNA from 1 species
CUCUUUAGAGAGGGGUGAAAAUUAAAGAAAUUCAUUAUAAUAACUCACAAAUGUAAAAAUUUAAUUUGUAACUGUUGUUUACGGUUCCGUUUGAUUGACAAAAUUAGGUGAGCAAGCAAACUAGAUUUAAAUUGUUGAUAAACUAAUAUAGCAUCAGAUUUUAUCACUAGUAUAAAUCUGUCAUGCAUCAGACAAUGACAAGACAG